rnacentral:lncRNA from 1 species
GGGUUCCAGAAUUCCAUUUGGGUGCAUUUAUUCAUUGUCGGAGCUGGAGUUAGCAGAACUGCGGGACUUCAUAGUGAAAAAUCUGAAAUGUGGAUUCAUUUGUCCUUUCACCUGCUGUAACUCCAGUCCUCUUUGUAAAGAAGAAGAGUGAGGAACUUCAUCUUUGCAACGAUUUCAGAGCCCUCAACCAGAUUACGAUCCGGAACAGGUAUCCUCUGCCCUUGAUCCAGGAACUGAUGGAACAGCUGUGGGAUGCUCAAAUUUUUACCAAGUUGGAUCUUAGGGGAACGUAUAACUUGGUCCGGAUUUGAGAAGGGGAUGAGUGGAAUAUGGCUUUCCAGACCAGGUAUGAGCAUUUUAAGUACACAGUCAUGCUGUUUAGGCUUUAUAAUGUACCCACUGUAUUCCAACACCUGAUGAAUGACAUUUUUCGGGACUUCCUGGAUCAGUUCUUGAUUGUGUACCUCAAUGGCAUUUUGAUUUACUCCCAAGACCCUCAGGAACAUGUUCAGCAUAUUUGAGCUGUGUUACAAUGCUUACAGGACAACCAUUUAUUUGCAAAGUUGGAGAAAUAUGCAUUUGACCUUGCCACAGUAGACUUUCUGGGUCUUUCCAACAACUUAAAAUGGCCUUCACAUCAAAGCCCAUUCUGCAACAGCCUGACCCUGCACUCCCGUUCAUAGUAGAGGCCAAUGCUUUAGACAAGGCCAUGGUGGCUGUUCUGUUCCAGCCAGUAGAGGAGGAUCAUGUGCUUUUCAUACUUUGAAAAACUCAGUGACUUGGAGCAGAAUUAUACAAUCUGGGAGAAGGAAUUAUUGGCCAUUAAGCUAGCCUUUGAAACUUGGUGCCAUCUGCUGGUGGGGGUGUGGUUUCCAGUGCAAGCACGGACUGAUCACCAGAAUCUAGAACAUCUACAGAAAUUGACCCUCCCUUGCCACCUCAGGUGUGGCAGAAGGAGAAAUGCAGACUGCAGCAAGUGGCAACGAGAAAGACCUUUGUUCGGCUGAUUCUGUGAGAGCCACGUCUGGAGCAUCAGGGCACAAAAGCAAGUUGGAAAUAAAAAUGUUUAUUAAGAGC